AAAUUGAAGAGUUUGAUCAUGGCUCAGAUUGAACGCUGGCGGCAGGCCUAACACAUGCAAGUCGAGCGGAAACGAGUUAUCUGAGCCUUCGGGGGACGAUAACGGCGUCGAGCGGCGGACGGGUGAGUAAUGCCUAGGAAAUUGCCCUGA
rnacentral:rRNA from 1 species